CCAGGCUCGGUCACUGCACAUCUGUUAUUCAGUUCACUCACAGACAGCAAACCAAGGGGUUGUGCUGUCUCCUUGUCUCCCAGGGAUAAACCCACAUGACAGUUUACAAAAACAGGUAAUCAUAAGAAGCAAAUGGCCCAGAUGAAACACAGCAAAAGAAUGAGAAGUGGUAACACUGGGAGUGAAAUUUGAACCAAGCGUAAAUGGAGUGAUCGUAGAAAUAGCUGACUGUGGAAUGUGGACACUCUCUGUAUCUGCAGCCUGGGAAGCUUAAAGAAGGUGAACUUACUGACACCAGUUAGAAAGUGACUGUGAUGAAACGAUGAAGAUGCUCCAGAGGAAGUGACACCAGCAAUAGGAAAAAAAAAACAAACCUCUCACUGAAGGAACUCUCGGAGAUAUUUCAUGACACAGAAGGCACAAAGGAUACAAUAUUGGCAACUAAUCGAAACUUAGAAAUGAUAUGACAGCUCACCAAGGCAUAGAAAAAGAUGCUUGCUCUAUCAUAAGUUAUAGAAUGAGAAGAAGGUGUGAUCCAGAGAACAUGCCUUUCACUGUGAAAACCAGCACCUUCAAGGCCAGGCGCAGUGGCUUGCGCCUAUAAUCCCAGCAUAUUGGGAGGCCGAGGUGGGUGGAUCACCUGAGGUCAGGAGUUCAAGACCAACCUGACCAACAUGGUCUACUAAAAAUACAAAAAUUAGCCCGGCAUGGUGGCGGGCGCCUAUAAUCCCAGGUACUCGGGAGGCUGAGACAUGAGAAUAGCUUGAACCAGGGAGGCGGAGGUUGCAGUGAGACGAGAUCACACCAUUGCACUCCAGCCUGGGCAACAGAGCAAGACUCCAUCUCAAAAACAAACAAACAAACAAACAAAAACACCACACAAAACCAGCACCUUCCACAGUGUCUAGCAUACGUUAGUCACCAAAACAGGUUUGCUAAAUGAACAAAUGAAUGAAUGGCAUUUUAUGUGUCAGUAAAUAUGCUUCAAAAUCAUGAUGUAUGAUGAGUAAGCAACUCUAUCAAAUAAAUAUAACGUAAUUUGCUGUGAGCACAUAAUUUGCUGUGUUCUAGUAUUGAACAGUUGGACUAUUUCCAUAUUUUAAUUUUUACUAUUAUGUUUGAGGAUGAUAUAUAAAUCUU
rnacentral:lncRNA from 1 species